rnacentral:rRNA from 1 species
UGGGGAAUAUUGCACAAUGGGCGCAAGCCUGAUGCAGCCAUGCCGCGUGUAUGAAGAAGGCCUUCGGGUUGUAAAGUACUUUCAGCGGGGAGGAAGGCGAUAAGGUUAAUAACCUUGUCGAUUGACGUUACCCGCAGAAGAAGCACCGGCUAACUCCGUGCCAGCAGCCGCGGUAAUACGGAGGGUGCAAGCGUUAAUAGGAAUUACUGGGCGUAAAGCGCACGCAGGCGGUCUGUCAAGUCGGAUGUGAAAUCCCCGGGCUCAACCUGGGAACUGCAUUCGAAACUGGCAGGCUAGAGUCUUGUAGAGGGGGGUAGAAUUCCAGGUGUAGCGGUGAAAUGCGUAGAGAUCUGGAGGAAUACCGGUGGCGAAGGCGGCCCCCUGGACAAAGACUGACGCUCAGGUGCGAAAGCGUGGGGAGCAAACA